rnacentral:rRNA from 1 species
UACAGAGGUCCCAAGCGUUGUUCGGAUUCAUUGGGCGUAAAGGGUGUGUAGGUGGCGCGCUAAGUCGGGUGUGAAAUUUCGGAGCUUAACUCCGAAACUGCAUUCGAUACUGGCGUGCUCGAGGACUGGAGAGGAGACUGGAAUUCAUGGUGUAGCAGUGAAAUGCGUAGAGAUCAUGAGGAACACCGGUGGCGAAGGCGGGUCUCUGGGCCGAUACUGACGCUGAGGAGCGAAAGCGUGGGGAGCGAACAGG